rnacentral:misc_RNA from 1 species
AUGAAAGAUAGAAGCGCUCUUUUUAGAGGCUUCGACCCUUCUCAUUCCAUACACCCGUGCACUCGAGAUCGAAGUGAGGUUUUCGGUCGACCGCAAGGUCGUCGGAGAACUGCUUCUCUCGCAUUUUAACUCCUGAAGUUGUAGAGGAUGUCUUAAAAUAUUGAAAACAAACA